GGGGAAUUUUGGACAAUGGGCGCAAGCCUGAUCCAGCCAUGCCGCGUGAGUGAAGAAGGCCUUCGGGUUGUAAAGCUCUUUCGGUGAAGACGAAACGGUUAGCGUUAAUAGCGCUGACUAAUGACGGUACUCACAGAAGAAGCACCGGCUAACUACGUGCCAGCAGCCGCGGUAAUACGUAGGGUGCAGGCGUUAAUCGGAAUUACUGGGCGUAAAGCGUGCGCAGGCGGUUUGCUAAGACAGGUGUGAAAUCCCCGGGCUUAACCUGGGAAUUGCGCUUGUAACUGGCAGGCUAGAGUGUGGCAGAGGGGGGUGGAAUUCCACGUGUAGCAGUGAAAUGCGUAGAUAUGUGGAGGAACACCGAUGGCGAAGGCAGCCCCCUGGGUUAACACUGACGCUCAGGCACGAAAGCGUGGGGAGCAAAC
rnacentral:rRNA from 1 species